GUGGGGAGGAGGACGUGCCCGGAGGAGAACCGCCGCGCUGGGAGGUCCGGGAGAUGGCGCGGCGAGGGCGGAGGCGGGGGCGGGAGCGGGGCCUGAGCUCGGUUUAACGGCGGGGAAUAUGCGCGCGAGUAGUAUGCGGCGGCGGGGGAGGACAAGUGCGCGGCGGCGAGAAGGCGGCGGAGGUGGCGGAGCCGGAGGGGGAGGUUGGGGGAUAUCAUGUGGCUUUGGAACGCGAGGCAACGGGGGAUGGGGGAUUCGGAGGCUGAAACGGACACGGCGG
rnacentral:lncRNA from 1 species